GGGAGCCGGAGGGAAACCGAGUCUUAACCGGGCGUUAAGUUGCAGGGUAUAGACCCGAAACCCGGUGAUCUAGCCAUGGGCAGGUUGAAGGUUGGGUAACACUAACUGGAGGACCGAACCGACUAAUGUUGAAAAAUUAGCGGAUGACCUGUGGCUGGGGGUGAAAGGCCAAUCAAACCGGGAGAUAGCUGGUUCUCCCCGAAAGCUAUUUAGGUAGCGCCUCGUGAAUUCAUCUCCGGGGGUAGAGCACUGUUUCGGCUAGGGGGCCAUCCCGGCUUACCAACCCGAUGCAAACUGCGAAUACCGGAGAAUGUUAUCACGGGAGACACACGGCGGGUGCUAACGUCCGUCGUGAAGAGGGAAACAACCCAGACCGCCAGCUAAGGUCCCAAAGUCAUGGUUAAGUGGGAAACGAUGUGGGAAGGCCCAGACAGCCAGGAUGUUGGCUUAGAAGCAGCCAUCAUUUAAAGAAAGCGUAAUAGCUCACUGGUCGAGUCGGCCUGCGCGGAAGAUGUAACGGGGCUAAACCAUGCACCGAAGCUGCGGCAGCGAACGUAUCACUUAAAGCGAUUCAGCGGGUUACGAUUGACGGAGCGAAGCGACGUCAAAGCGUAUACAAAGUCGAGUCGGUUUAAGGAUACGUUCGUUGGGUAGGGGAGCGUUCUGUAAGCCUGUGAAGGUGUGUCGUGAGGCAUGCUGGAGGUAUCAGAAGUGCGAAUGCUGACAUAAGUAACGAUAAAGCGGGUGAAAAGCCCGCUCGCCGGAAGACCAAGGGUUCCUGUCCAACGUUAAUCGGGGCAGGGUGAGUCGACCCCUAAGGCGAGGCCGAAAGGCGUAGUCGAUGGGAAACGGGUUAAUAUUCCCGUACUUGGUGUUACUGCGAAGGGGGGACGGAGAAGGCUAUGUUGGCCGGGCGACGGUUGUCCCGGUUUAAGCGUGUAGGUGUGUGUUCCAGGUAAAUCCGGUUCACUUUAACACUGAGGCGUGACGACGAGGCACUACGGUGCUGAAGCAACAAAUGCCCUGCUUCCAGGAAAAGCCUCUAAGCAUCAGGUAACAUCAAAUCGUACCCCAAACCGACACAGGUGGUCAGGUAGAGAAUACCAAGGCGCUUGAGAGAACUCGGGUGAAGGAACUAGGCAAAAUGGUGCCGUAACUUCGGGAGAAGGCACGCUGACACGUAGGUGAAGUGAUUUACUCAUGGAGCUGAAGUCAGUCGAAGAUACCAGCUGGCUGCAACUGUUUAUUAAAAACACAGCACUGUGCAAACACGAAAGUGGACGUAUACGGUGUGACGCCUGCCCGGUGCCGGAAGGUUAAUUGAUGGGGUCAGCGCAAGCGAAGCUCCUGAUCGAAGCCCCGGUAAACGGCGGCCGUAACUAUAACGGUCCUAAGGUAGCGAAAUUCCUUGUCGGGUAAGUUCCGACCUGCACGAAUGGCGUAAUGAUGGCCAGGCUGUCUCCACCCGAGACUCAGUGAAAUUGAACUCGCUGUGAAGAUGCAGUGUACCCGCGGCAAGACGGAAAGACCCCGUGAACCUUUACUAUAGCUUGACACUGAACAUUGAGCCUUGAUGUGUAG
rnacentral:rRNA from 1 species